AAUGCUGACAUAAGUAACGAUAAAGCGGGUGAAAAGCCCGCUCGCCGGAAGACCAAGGGUUCCUGUCCAACGUUAAUCGGGGCAGGGUGAGUCGACCCCUAAGGCGAGGCCGAAAGGCGUAGUCGAUGGGAAACGGGUUAAUAUUCCCGUACUUGGUGUUACUGCGAAGGGGGGACGGAGAAGGCUAUGUUGGCCGGGCGACGGUUGUCCCGGUUUAAGCGUGUAGGUGUGUGUUCCAGGUAAAUCCGGUUCACUUUAACACUGAGGCGUGACGACGAGGCACUACGGUGCUGAAGCAACAAAUGCCCUGCUUCCAGGAAAAGCCUCUAAGCAUCAGGUAACAUCAAAUCGUACCCCAAACCGACACAGGUGGUCA
rnacentral:rRNA from 1 species